AGGGAUAAAUUUAUAUAAAUAAUUUUUUAUAAAAAAAGUAUUUUUUAUAUGAGUAUUGGUUAGAAAUUAAAAUUUAUAUUAUAGUUAAUUAGUAUAGAGAUAGGAUAUUGAAAUAAUGGAAGUUUAUUUAUUUAAAAGAAAAAUUAAUUUUUUGUACCUUGGGUAUCAGGGUUUAUUAAAAUAUUUUAAUUAUUUAAUUUUCUCGAAUUAUAAAGAGCUAAUAUAGUAUAAAUUUAAUUGUGGCAUAAAUUUUUAUAAUACUAUAUUAGAAAUGAAACGUUAUUCGUUUUUUAAGAUAUCUAGUUUCUUAAGAAAUAAAUUUAAUUUAGUUUUUAUAUUAAAUAUAAUUAAUUUGUUAGUUAUAUUUAUAUAAUAAGUAAUAUUUUAGGGGAUAAGCUUUAAAAUAAAUUAUUAAAAUUGUUUAUAUUUUGAAUAAAAAUUAGUAGGAUUGGAAGUGUUUAUCUUUAGUUUGUUACAAAUAAUUUUUAUUAGAAUAAGAUUUAUAUAGAUUUUAAAUUUUUUAUUAAGAUAAUAUAUAUAAUAUUAUUAUAUAUGUAAUAAUGAUAAAAUUAGUAUAUGAUUUUGAUGUAUUAUUAAAUUAAAUAGUCAAGGUUAAGUUAAGGAACUCGGCAAAUAUAUUUUCCGCCUGUUUAUUAAAAACAUGUCUUUUUGAUUAUAAUUUAAAGUCUGACCUGCCCAAUGAGGAGUUGAAUGGCCGCGGUAAUUUGACCGUGCAAAGGUAGCAUAAUCAUUAGUUUUUUAAUUGAAAGCUGGAAUGAACGGUUGGACGAGAAAAUAACUGUCUCAAUUUAAUUGAAUGUAGAAUUUUAUUUAUAAGUAAAAAAGCUUAUAUAAAUUUAAAAGACGAGAAGACCCUAUAGAGUUUUAUAAUUUUUUAUAGUAAAGAAUUUUAGUAUGUUUAUAUUUUUAAUAUAAAAAAUUAUUUUGCUGGGGCAGCAGAAAAAUUAACUAAACUUUUUUUUAUUUAUUUUACAUUGAUUUAUGAUUUAAUGAUCCAUUAUUUAUGAUUACAAGAUUAAAUUACCUUAGGGAUAACAGCGUAAUUUUUUU
rnacentral:rRNA from 1 species